rnacentral:lncRNA from 1 species
CUGCAAUACCUCACUCAAUCUCUGUCUUUCUUGAAGAAGUCAUAAAUAAACACGAUGAAUCUAUGUAGAAGCGGAAUCUCACCAGUGACAUGCGUUUGUGAAAAGCUGUGAAUAUUCAGUGCCACAGGGUUAAACCUCGGUACAGAAGCGAGACCCUGCUGGGCAGAGAAAGGGUGACCUGGAAGGUGUGUGAGGGCCCCACCCAUGGGCCCCUGUGAUGGUCAUGGCCUCAAGAAUCACAGUCCAGGUAAGGCCCUGAAUCUCCACAGCCAGGACCAGUUGCCUCUGCACUUGGGUGCCGAGGCCAGUGUCAGCCAGGAGAGGCCUGCAGAAUCAGCCUGUGCACCUCUCUGACGAUAAGCAGAGAUGCCGGUUUAGAGACGUGCUACUCACGGGGCAGUCCUCGGGCCUCUUGUACUCACAUUACCUGGAACUUCUUGGAAAUUCAGAAUCUCAAGCCCCAACCCAGACGAACUGAAUCAAAAUCUUCACUGUGAUAAGACCCUCGGUGACACACAGGCCUGGGAAGCACAGGUUAGCGUGUCACCUUGGGCAAAGCUCUCAGCAUUGUGAGCCUCUGUUUUCUACUCUGUAAAGGAGGCAUCAAUAUCUACAUCAUCAGUUUGCCAUGAGUACUGAAAAAUAAUGUCUUAGAAGCACAGGGCAGAGCCUGGCAUGUAGUUUGUGCUCAGUGCACAGCAGACAAGAAACCACAUGCACCAGACCCGGGCGGCCGUCGGCAGCCCAUGCUGAGCAACCAUGGGUGGCCCUCUUGUCUCUCGGGACAAGAAAUGCUUCUUUAGAAAUGCUUCUUUCCUUUCUAAAAUGAAAGUUUUGGACAGUAUUUCCUUUCACUUAAAAAUUUCAUCUGUGUAUUUGAUGGCCUCUGUCGUU